GGUUUCUGAGCAGGUGUUUGAGUGCCCUCUGGAGGCCUUGUGAACAGUUGAAAUGUGGACUCCUAGCAAAGCUUUCUUUCACAGUCAGAGUUGAGAACCAGUGGGCGAGAUGGUUGAAACUGGUGUGGAUGUUAGGAGCAGAGGAGAGGGGAGAUGGAACUCAUGGGAAUGAACUAGUGUUUACAAGAGCUUGCCCGGCCAACUGAUAAUACUGGGUUUAUGCAGUGAGUGUAGAACACAGAGGCCGUAGGGUCACAGAAGGAGCCAAGGGAGUGUGGCCGGUAAUGUCCAGUGAGAUAAAGAACAAAAAGUGCCCUUGGAUUGGCCAAGAGAAGGCCGACAAUGAGAGGAACCUCGGUGGUGUGGUGUUGGAUUGAGGCAUGAGUGGGAAAUGAAGCAAUAGAAAUCUGGAAAAAUCAGUCUUUAAGAGGUCUGGAUGGGGAAAUGGAGGGUGGGGCCAGGGAGACAGGGUAGCUAGAGAAGGCCUGGGAUUAAAUGCUGUUUUUCCUUAAGGUUGGGGGAGACUUCUGCAUUGUGUUUAAAUGCUGAAGGGAAGAAACAAGCACAGAAAGAAAACAGUUGAAAGGGGUAUGGGGGCCGGGGAGGAGGAGAGAGUUGGUUUCAAAGUUCUUUGCCUGGGAGAUCUGUUGAGGGAAGAAGUUGCCUUUUAUAGGGACUUUGAGUUUGUCAAAGUAGUGAUUUUCAGUUUAUCGUGGGAUGAUGGGGAAAUAAUUCUAGUAGGCAGUUGGAGAUACAGAUCUGAAACAUUUACAUAGGUCUUCGAGAUGCUCAUGAGCCUUAGGGACUGUGCCUAUAUACCUAGAGAUAAGACAUCCCUGUUCUGCUGGGAAGUGGAC
rnacentral:lncRNA from 1 species